AACGAACGCUGGCGGCAUGCCUAACACAUGCAAGUCGAACGAGACCUUCGGGUCUAGUGGCGCACGGGUGCGUAACGCGUGGGAACCUGCCCUUAGGGUCGGAAUAACUCCCCGAAAGGGGUGCUAAUACCGGAUAAUGUCUACGGACCAAAGAUUUAUCGCCCUUGGAUGGGCCCGCGUUGGAUUAGCUAGUUGGUAGGGUAAAAGACUACCAAGGCGACGAUCCAUAGCUGGUCUGAGAGGAUGAUCAGCCACACUGGGACUGAGACACGGCCGAGACUCCUACGGGAGGCAGCAGUGGGUGAUAUUGGAAAAUGGGCGGAGGGCUGAUGCAGCUAUGCCGCGUGAGUUAUGAAGUCCUGAGGGUUGUAAAGCUCUUUUAACCGGGAUGAUAAUGACAGUACCGGGAGAAUAAGCCCCGGCUAACUACGUG
rnacentral:rRNA from 1 species